UUUAAUUUUAUUUAGUUUGUGUUUCAACUUCUAUUUGGAUGAUGAGAAAGUAGAGUGAAAGGGGAGCAACAUAAAGAUUUCAUCCUGGAUUUUGUGUUUCACUUUUGUUUUAUAGUAUCUGAAUUUCUCCACUUAUCCCAACUGUGAUUGUUAAAUUACAAACGUUCUUUUCUCUUACACUGUGUUUGGUUGGGUGGAAUUUAGGAAUGAUGGAAAACAUAGGAAAGAAAAUUGGGGGUAUAACAGUGUUUAAUGCUAUUCUUUUUCUCUACACCACCAUCAUCGUCUUUUCUCAAUCUCUACAUGGUAGUGUACACUACCAUCAUCAUCUUUUCAACAGCCACUGACAAUCUGUCUAUCGAUGAGAAUUUUGCGAUUUGCAGUUGGUUUUUGUUAAACUUGAGUUUUUUGUGCUGGAAAAUAGGCAAAAGAGGCUAGGAGUCACCGUGAGGGCAGAGUGAUAAUCAAGAUACAAAGUGCCCAGUUCAAGAUUUGCCAACAUAUUUCCAAUGUCUUCCAUUAGCACUCAAAAGGCCUCCCCUUCGUCAUCUUCAACGCCACAGUGGAAAUAUGAUGUCUUUCUUAGUUUUAGAGGUGAGGACACCCGCAAUAGUUUUACAGACCAUCUAUAUGUUGCUUUGAGACAAAAGGGCAUAAUCACCUUUAGAGAUGAGGAAAAACUUGAGAUAAGAAAAUCUAUUUCACCAGAGCUCUUGAAAGCAAUAGAAGAAUCAAGAUUUGCGAUUGUUAUUCUCUCAAAAAACUAUGCAACUUCAACAUGGUGUUUAGAUGAACUUGUAAAGAUCAUUGAAUGCAUGAAAGAGAUGAAAACAACGGUAUUUCCAAUAUUUUAUGAUGUGGAUCCAUCAAAUGUACGAAAACAAACAGGCUCUUUUGCCCAAGCCUUUUCUAUACAUGAAGAAUGUUUCAAGGACUAUAUAGAGAAUGUGAAUACAUGGAGAGCUGCUUUAAGGGAAGUGGCAAAUCUCAAAGGGUGGCACCUACUUGAUAGGUCUGAGGCACAACUUAUCCAAAAUAUUGUGGGAGAGUUAUGGCAUAAAUUGAGUUAUCCAUUCUUGGAAGAUAUUGAAGACCUUGUAGGAAUAAAAUCUAGAGUGAAAGAAUUGGAGUCAUGUUUAGCUACAGGGUUUAAUGAUGUUCGCAUUAUAGGGGUUUGGGGGAUGGGGGGAAUAGGUAAAACAACUCUUGCUAGAGUUGUUUUUGAUAUGGUUUCGAAGAAGUUUGAAGGUUGUUGCUUUCUCCGUAAUGUUAGGGAGGUUUGUGAAAAAGAUGGUUUAAUUCCAUUGCAACAACUACUUAUUAGAAAAAUAUUAAAUGAAUGUAUGACAAUACAAGAUGUUGAGGAAGGACUUUUCGUGAUCAAGAAUAGAUUACGUCAUAAAAGAAUUCUUCUCGUUCUUGAUGAUGUAAAUCAUUUAGACCAGUUGAAAAAGUUAGUUGGGAAGGGUAAUUGGUUUGGUUCUGGUAGUAGAGUUAUCAUAACAACAAGGGAUAAGCAUUUACUUCGUCUACUUAAAGUAGAUGAAAUAUACGAAGUUAAAGGAUUGAAUGAUGAUGAAGCUCUUCAUCUUUUAAGUUUGAAAGCUUUUACUAAUGACCAUCCUCCCAAAGAUUAUCUAGAGCUGUGUAAGGAUGUUAUACAAUAUACUAAAGGUCUUCCUUUGGCUAUUGAGAUUUUGGGUUCCUUUUUGUUUAGUAGAGAUAUUGAUCAAUGGAAAAGUACAUUAAAUAGGCUUAAAGAAUUUCCUAAAAGUGAAAUUCUCCAAGUACUUAAAAUAAGUUUUGAUGGACUAGAUGAAGUAGAGAAGGAAAUAUUUCUACAUAUUGCAUGUUUCUUUAAUAAUCGGAUAAAAAAUGACAUAGUAGAAAUCCUAGAUUAUCUCGGCCUUUACCCUGAUAUUGGUUUAGGGGUUCUUGUAGAUAAAUCUCUUGUAAAAAUGGAUGAAACUAAGUUAUGGAUGCAUGAUUUACUACAAGAAAUGGGUAGGAACAUAGUUUAUCAAGAGUGCCCUAAAGAGCCUGGAAAACGUAGCAAACUGUGGUUGCUUGAGGAUGUUGAUGAUGUACUUACAAAAAAUAUGGACACAGAAGCAAUUCAAGGCAUUGUUCUAAAGUUGUCUACACCAAAAGAGGCACAUUGGAAUCCUGAAUCAUUCUCAAAGAUGCAACAUCUUAAAUUACUCAUAAUCAAUAAUGUUUACCUUUUGCAUGAUCCCAAACAUCUUCCUAAUAGCUUAAGAAUUCUUGACUGGGACAAGUACCCUUCAAAGUAUUUUCCAUCAAGUUUCCAAUCAAAGUCAUUUCAGAGGUUAAAAUCGAUCCGAAUAAGCAAGCCUCUGAAACUUAUUGAAACCCCUGUCUUCACCGAAGUCCCGUUCCUUGAGAAAUUGGUUCUUGAAGAUUGUUUAAAUUUAUCCAGGGUGCACCCAUCCAUUGUAGUUCUCAAAAAGCUAACUUUUCUUAGUCUAAAAGGCUGCAAAAACCUAACAUCUCUUCCAAACAAGUUUGAAAUGGAGUCUCUUGAAACUCUUAUUCUUUCCGACUGCUCAAAAAUUAAAAAAAUUCCAGAAUUUGGAGAAAACAUGCAACGUGUAUUGAAGCUUUACUUGGAUGGAACUGCUAUAAAAGAGAUUCCUUCUUCCAUUGGUCUCUUAAAGAAUCUUAAAGUGCUAUCUUUCGAUGGAUGUAAGGGGUUAUCAUCAUUUAAAUCUCCAUCUUGGUAUGAUCUCCUCCCUUUUUAUUCAAUGCCAAAAAGUCCACAUCCUGUGGGAUUGUCCUCUCUAUUGGGUUUGUGUUCUUUGACCGAAUUGAAUUUAAGAGACUGCAAUCUCAGGGAAAUCCCUGAUGACAUUGGUUGCUUAAUCUCUUUAACAGAAAUAGAUUUAAGUGAAAAUAGUUUUGUUUGUCUUCCUGACAGCAUCGAUCAUCUAUGUAAUUUGAGAAAAAUGAUGUUGGAGAAUUGUAAGAGUCUUCGAUCAUUGCCAAAGCUUCCAUUAAGUAUCGGAGCUAUCGGGGGAUAUGGUUGUACCUCACUAGAAACAAUACCAGAUCUACUAAAACCUAAUUCUAUAUGUGAGGUAGAGCUUUUUGUUACAAAUUGCAGUAAACUGACUGACAAUCAAGGUGUCAUUGACAUGUUUUUUACAAUGAUAAGAAAGCACCUUCAGGGACUCUCUCUUAAUUGCCAAGUGUAUCAUAAUAGUUAUAACAUUGUUAUUCCUGGAAGUGUAAUUCCGAAAUGGUUUAGCCAUCAAAGCAUAGGGGUUGAAGUGAAUAUAAAAGUGGAAACUUCUUCUCAUUUGUGUGAUGAGUGGAUGGGCAUUGCUGUUUGCAUUGUAUUUUCAUGUGUUCAAGAUCACUGGAUCGAUAAUUGCUAUGACAAUGACCUCACCUGUCGAUUGAUAGUCAAUGGAGAAGAAAUGAAUGAUACAAUAGGCCCUUUAAGCAUAGUUGCUUUAUCAGAUCAUAUGUGGCUAUUUUAUUGGCUUCCUCAAUACUUCAUCGAGGAGGACAUAAAAUUACUGAAGGAAUUUGAAGAAAAUGAAUUUGGUCAGAUUGGCAUUAAAAUUGAACCCCGUGGUCGAACAACGAUGGUGAAGAAAUGUGGGUUCCGUAUGGUAUACAAGAAAGACAUAGAAGAUCUCAACCAAAUUGUGGCUCAGAAUAACAACACCAGCAUCAUUCCUUACGAGGACUUGGGUGUUCUCCAUCAUAAUUCAGUGGUGGAAGCAGAAGGUAACAAAGCAAAGCAAACCCAUGACGAUUAUGAUGGGGCUGGACCUAGUGAGCUACCACACCCACAAAGGAAUGAAAGAUUCAUAGAAUUUAUGGCCUAUGGUGAAUCUGAUUGUGAGGAGUACUUGGAAUGCAGUGAGGAGCUCAGUGAUUGGCAGAAAUCUAGUGAAAGUGACUUGGAAGGUUGAUGGAAUUUAGAAAAUCGGUUCAAAUACUCUUUAAUUUAAUGUGCGUGUUAUUCUGGGCCAUUCUGCAUUCUGUGCAUAUUCAAGCAGGCAAGCAACUGUGCAGACAAGGUUGAAAAAUAUAGAAGGUAUCCUGCUUUAAUUGGAUCUGAUUAGAGAGCUGUACUCUCCAGAAGUGGCUGAUUAAAUUUUAGCCAUCCCUAUCUCAAGCUGUGGAAUUACUGAAAAUCUGACAUGGCCUCAUACAACACAAACAUAGUGAGUGAAACCAAGUGUCUUUUUUCAUUAAGGAAGAGAAGUUGGAUCAUUUAUUCUUGUAGCGCAUUCUUGCUUGGGCUGUAUGAUUUUGGUCAGAUUAGACACUUAGAACUGAGGUCAUUUACCCUUGCUCUUGGAAGCAGUAAUUUACUCAGUAAAUGGAAGAUCUAGAUUUUCAUAAGCCGGAAUAUGUGAUGUUCUCUAGAUUAUCUUGUCAUAACUAACAUGUGGGACUUGUUGUAUAACCUCAACACAGUGAUGAUUGAGGGUGCAAAACAGUGUACUUACGAUGUGCUAAUGCUCAGUAAAGCUUUGGAUUGUAGGUAUGCACAAGCCUAUGAUGCACAACAUGUGGAUCAGAAUAACUGCAGCAGACUAAGGCGGGUGUGUCCAGUUGCGGAGGGAUUGCCAGUAUUGCUGACAGUUGAGGGGCACUGGCAGAGAAGCUGCGAAUGAGGUUGUUUUGCCUAUGUAGCUAAAUCAUGUGGUGGGAAGAAAAUUUUUGCAGGCUGUUGCAGUUCUGUCAUAUGCAACUGAAUGGCGGCUAGAUGCCUUGCUGUUUGAGAAGCAUUAACUAAGGCUCUACAGCUUGGUUUUUACAGAUUUGUUCUGGUUAGUAGAAGAAUGGAGGAAUUCUAUUUGGGAAAGAAGAAGGUUCCUUGGCAACUUGCUGCCCUGAUUGAUGGCUAAAAGUGCAAGGAAGUUGGAGAGCACCAAUGGUGUACAUAUAUGCUGUGCAUAGGAGUCACUGCAGAGGCUAGGUCCCUGGCUACUCUUGCUUCAAACUCUUUUAACAUUUUUUGGGUUUGUAACUCUAUUACUAGAUAGCUCUUAUGCAUGCAAUCACUAACAAUUUAAGACAUUGGGGAAAGAUUUGUGUCUGUGUAAAAAUUCCUGUAUAGUUCUGUUUCCAUCUCUAUAAUUAUGUUCAAUUUCCAUUUCCAUUUUA